AGCGAACGCUGGCGGCAGGCUUAACACAUGCAAGUCGAAGGUGAAGCUAGAGCUUGCUCUAGUGGAAACUGGCGGACGGGUGAGUAACGCGUAGGGAUGUGCCUUUGAGUACGGAAUAACCGUUGGAAACGGCGGCUAAUACCGUAUACGCCCCCACGGGGGAAAGCUCCGGCGCUCAAAGAGCAACCUGCGUCCGAUUAGCUUGUUGGUGAGGUAAUGGCUCACCAAGGCUGCGAUCGGUAGCUGGUCUGAGAGGAUGGUCAGCCACACUGGGACUGAGACACGGCCCAGACUCCUACGGGAGGCAGCAGUGGGGAAUAUUGGACAAUGGGGGCAACCCUGAUCCAGCCAUGCCGCGUGAGUGAAGAAGGCCUUAGGGUUGUAAAGCUCUUUCAGCAGGGAAGAUGAUGACGGUACCUGCAGAAGAAGCCCCGGCUAACUCCGUG
rnacentral:rRNA from 1 species